UAAAACAAAAAAUGGCUGAGAAGAGGGAGGAGAAAGAGAAAUACUGAUGUUUAAAGAAAAAAGAAAAGAAAAAGAAACCCGUGAGUUUUGGCUUCUGAUGUGGUGUGGCAUGAAUGGUUCUUUGAAUAAAAAAAAAAAAUCAUUGAUACCCUAGUAUAUAUAUAUAUAUAUUUAAUACAAUAUGUAAAGGAUUAAAAAAU
rnacentral:lncRNA from 1 species